GGCUCGGUGGUGUAGUUGGUUAUCACGUAAGUCAUCCUCUCUUGCUCGCUUCACACUCAAGCAGCAUCAACUAACAAUCAAUUUAGGUCAGUCUAACAGAUGUUAGCACACUGAAGGUCCCGAGUUCAAACCUCGGCUGAGUCA